rnacentral:rRNA from 1 species
CAGCCGUAAACUAUGCUCGCUAGGUGUCAGGCAUGGCGCGACCGUGUCUGGUGCCGCAGGGAAGCCGUGAAGCGAGCCACCUGGGAAGUACGGCCGCAAGGCUGAACUUAAGGAAUUGGCGGGGGAGCACAACAACGGGUGGAGCCUGCGGUUUAAUUGGACUCAACGCCGGACAACUCACCGGGGACGACAGCAAUAUGUAGGCCAGGCUGAAGACCUUGCCUGAAUCGCUGAGAGGUGGUGCAUGGCGUAGACGUCU